rnacentral:rRNA from 1 species
GUCCACGCCGUAAACGAUGAUCACUAGAUGUAAAGUCCGAUUUAGGACUCUGUGUCGAAGCUAACGCGUUAAGUGAUCCGCCUGGGAAGUACGGUCGCAAGAUUAAAACUCAAAGGAAUUGACGGGGGUCCGCACAAGCGGUGGAACAUGUGGUUUAAUUCGACACUACGCGAGGAACCUUACCUAGGCUUGACAUACAAUUGCUAUCUGCCGAAAGGUGGAGUCUUGGGGAAACCCAAGCGAUUGAACAGGUGCUGCAUGGCUGUCGU